GACGAACGCUGGCGGCGUGCUUAACACAUGCAAGUCGAACGAGGAACAGGAGCUGCUUGCAGCACCUGGAACCGAGUGGCGGACGGGUGAGUAACACGUGACCAAUCUACCUUCAGGCGGGGGACAACCCGAGGAAACUUGGGCUAAUACCGCGUAACAUUCUUUUGCCGCAUGGCAGCUGAAUCAAAGAUGGCCUCUUUACAAUGCUAUCACCUGAAGAGGAGGUCGCGGCGUAUCAGCUUGUUGGUGAGGUAAUGGCUCACCAAGGCUACGACGCGUAGCGGGUCUGAGAGGACGACCCGUCACAUUGGGACUGAGAUACGGCCCAG
rnacentral:rRNA from 1 species